rnacentral:tRNA from 1 species
UGUUCUGUAGCUUAGUUGAUUAAAACGCCGGACUAGCGAUAACGGAGUCGUGGGUUCGAAUCCCACCAAAACAA